rnacentral:rRNA from 1 species
GCGACCCCAGGUCAGGCGGGACUACCCGCUGAAUUUAAGCAUAUAAAUAAGCGGA